rnacentral:rRNA from 1 species
AUUGAACGCUGGCGGCAGGCCUAACACAUGCAAGUCGAGCGGAUGAAGGGAGCUUGCUCCUGUAUUCAGUGGCGGACGGGUGAGUAAUGCCUAGGAAUCUGCCUGGUAGUGGGGGAUGACGUCCGUACACGGACGCUAAUACCGCAUACGUCCUGAGGGUGAAAGUGAUGGUUCUUAGGACCUCACGCUACCAGAUGAGCCUAGGUCGGAUUAGCUAGUUGGUGGGGUAAAGGCCUACCAAGGCGACGAUCCGUAACUGGUCUGAGAGGAUGAUCAGUCACACUGGAACUGAGACACGGUCCAGACUCCUACGGGAGGCAGCAGUGGGGAAUAUUGGACAAUGGGCGAAAGCCUGAUCCAGCCAUGCCGCGUGUGUGAAGAAGGUCUUCGGAUUGUAAAGCACUUUAAGUUGGGAGGAAGGGCAGUAAGUUAAUACCUUGCUGUUUUGACGUUACCAACAGAAUAAGCACCGGCUAACUUCGUG